CUACGGGGCGCAGCAGUAGGGAAUAUUGCACAAUGGGCGAAAGCCUGAUGCAGCAACGCCGCGUGCGCGAUGAAGGCCUUCGGGUUGUAAAGCGCUUUUCUGAGGGAAGAGGAAGGACUGUACCUCAGGAAUAAGUCUCGGCUAACUACGUGCCAGCAGCCGCGGUAACACGUAGGAGGCAAGCGUUAUCCGGAUUUACUGGGCGUAAAGCGCGUGUAGGCGGUUUGGCAAGUCGGAUGUGAAAGCUCCCGGCUCAACUGGGAGAGGUCGUUCGAAACUGCCAGACUAGAGGACGGUAGAGGAAGAUGGAAUUCCCGGUGUAGUAGUGAAAUGCGUAGAUAUCGGGAGGAACACCAGUGGCGAAGGCGGUCUUCUGGGCCGUUCCUGACGCUGAGACGCGAAAGCAUGGGUAGCGAACGGGAUUAGAUACCCGAGUAGUC
rnacentral:rRNA from 1 species